GCCGACCUCUCCCUAAGCCAGAUUUUGUAUUAUCGGAGCAAAACCGAAAACAAAAAAGUUUCAGCUGAUCUGAGUAGGGUUGCGCUGUGAGGAGCUCCCUUUUCUCUCAGCAUUGGCUCAGCCAGCCUGCGACGUGGCUGCCCUUCGGUGUGGACGUGCGAUGAAGCUUGCCCAGACCCCAGCCCUGCUCGCUCGCUAAGGGGAACUGGGCGAGACCCUCCGCGGCCUCGGACCAGCCAAUUUCCUGCCAUCUUCACUUCUGAUCAGCAGCAUUUUGCCAGCCAGCUCCCCACAUCUGCCUGCAGCGGAAACGCUCUAAAAAGCGUGCUGUGAAAAUACAAGGAACAGCGCAGGACCACAUGAAACGAACAGCUGGAAACCCUGAGUUGCCAUGUCACAGCUUGUUUCACCUCUGGCCUGUUCUCCCUCUCCCUCCAUCAGCCUGCAAACACUGGAGAGUGAGUAGAGACUGCAGCAGAAGUAAGAGUGAAGGGGAGUUGCUGCAGAGUGAAGUAAAUACAGAGAAUACUAUGCAGAGUAUCCAUGAAGAGCUUCGCUAGAUCCGUUUGUAGAUUUGUUUUCUGACGACACUAGAUUCACAAGAGCGUAAGUUACAAGCAACGUCAUGUUCCUACACAAUUCAGAUGCAUUAUUAUUAUUAGAGC